rnacentral:rRNA from 1 species
GGAGGGUGCAAGCGUUAUUCGGAAUCACUGGGCGUAAAGAGCGCGUAGGCGGUUUCUAAAGUCAGAUGUGAAAGCCCGGGGCUCAACCCCGGAAGUGCAUUUGAAACUUAGGGACUUGAGUAUGGGAGAGGGAAGUGGAAUUCCUGGUGUAGCGGUGAAAUGCGUAGAUAUCAGGAGGAACACCGGCGGCGAAGGCGACUUCCUGGACCAAUACUGACGCUGAGGCGCGAAGGCGUGGGGAGCAAACAGGAUUAGAUACCCUGGUAGUCCACGCAGUAAACGUUGAACACUAGGUGUAGCGGGUAUUGACCCCCCUGCUGUGCCCGCAGCUAACGCAUUAAGUGUUCCGCCUGGGGAGUACGGCCCGCAAGGCUAA